CCUACGGGUGGCAGCAGUGAGGAAUAUUGGUCAAUGGGCGGGAGCCUGAACCAGCCAAGCCGCGUGAGGGAAGAAGGUACAGCGUAUCGUAAACCUCUUUUGUCAGGGAACAAAGGCGGGGACUAGUCCCCGGAUGAGGGUACCUGUAUAAGCAGCCCCGGCUAACUCCGUGCCAGCAGCCGCGGUAAUACGGAGGGGGCGAGCGUUGUUCGGAGUGACUGGGCGUAAAGAGAGCGUAGACGGCAGUGCAAGUCUGGAGUGAAAGGCGGGGGCUCAACCCCCGGACUGCUCUGGAAACUGUACGGCUGGAGUGCAGGAGAGGUAAGUGGAAUUCCUAGUGUAGCGGUGAAAUGCGUAGAUAUUAGGAGGAACACCAGUGGCGAAGGCGGCUUACUGGACUGUAACUGACGUUGAGGCUCGAAAGCGUGGGGAGCAAACAGGAUUAGAUACCCGUGUAGUC
rnacentral:rRNA from 1 species